rnacentral:snRNA from 1 species
AUACCUUUAUCGGCCUUUUGACUAAGAUCAAGUGUAGUAUAUGUUCUUAUAAGUUUAAUAUCUGAUACAUGGUUCAUAGAACCACAUGAUAUUAAAUGUAUUUUUCUAGGGGGAGGGCCCACUCACAAUAGCUUGUGAUUGCGGCUCUCGGGCGUCUCUUGUGCGUUUCACUUCAACACCAUCCUGGCGCACCCCAA